rnacentral:rRNA from 1 species
CCUACGGGUGGCAGCAGUGAGGAAUAUUGGUCAAUGGGCGCGAGCCUGAACCAGCCAAGCAGCGUGAAGGAUGACUGCCCUACGGGUUGUAAACUUCUUUUAUAAAGGAAUAAAGUGAGGCACGUGUGCCUUUUUGUAUGUACUUUAUGAAUAAGGAUAGGCUAACUCCGUGCCAGCAGCCGCGGUAAUACGGAGGAUCCGAGCGUUAUCCGGAUUUAUUGGGUUUAAAGGGAGCGUAGAUGGGUUGUUAAGUCAGGUGUGAAAGUUUGGGGCUCAACCGUAAAAUUGCAAUUGAUACUGGCAGCCUUGAGUACAGUUGAGGUAGGCGGAAUUCGUGGUGUAGCGGUGAAAUGCUUAGAUAUGACGAAGAACACCGAUGGCGAAGGCAGCCUACUAAACUGCCACUGACGUUGAGGCUCGAAAGUGUGGGUAUCAAACAGGAUUAGAUACCCCAGUAGUC